GAUGAACGCUGGCGGCGUGCCUAAUACAUGCAAGUCGAGCGAACGGACGAGAAGCUUGCUUCUCUGAUGUUAGCGGCGGACGGGUGAGUAACACGUGGAUAACCUACCUAUAAGACUGGGAUAACUUCGGGAAACCGGAGCUAAUACCGGAUAAUAUUUUGAACCGCAUGGUUCAAAAGUGAAAGACGGUCUUGCUGUCACUUAUAGAUGGAUCCGCGCUGCAUUGGCUAGUUGGUAAGGUAACGGCUUACCAAGGCAACGAUGCAUAGCCGACCUGAGAGGGUGAUCGGCCACACUGGAACUGAGACACGGUCCAGACUCCUACGGGAGGCAGCAGUAGGGAAUCUUCCGCAAUGGGCGAAAGCCUGACGGAGCAACGCCGCGUGAGUGAUGAAGGUCUUCGGAUCGUAAAACUCUGUUAUUAGGGAAGAACAUAUGUGUAAGUAACUGUGCACAUCUUGACGGUACCUAAUCAGAAAGCCACGGCUAACUACGUGCCAGCAGCCGCGGUAAUACGUAGGUGGCAAGCGUUAUCCGGAAUUAUUGGGCGUAAAGCGCGCGUAGGCGGUUUUUUAAGUCUGAUGUGAAAGCCCACGGCUCAACCGUGGAGGGUCAUUGGAAACUGGAAAACUUGAGUGCAGAAGAGGAAAGUGGAAUUCCAUGUGUAGCGGUGAAAUGCGCAGAGAUAUGGAGGAACACCAGUGGCGAAGGCGACUUUCUGGUCUGUAACUGACGCUGAUGUGCGAAAGCGUGGGGAUCAAACAGGAUUAGAUACCCUGGUAGUCCACGCCGUAAACGAUGAGUGCUAAGUGUUAGGGGGUUUCCGCCCCUUAGUGCUGCAGCUAACGCAUUAAGCACUCCGCCUGGGGAGUACGACCGCAAGGUUGAAACUCAAAGGAAUUGACGGGGACCCGCACAAGCGGUGGAGCAUGUGGUUUAAUUCGAAGCAACGCGAAGAACCUUACCAAAUCUUGACAUCCUUUGACAACUCUAGAGAUAGAGCUUUCCCCUUCGGGGGACAAAGUGACAGGUGGUGCAUGGUUGUCGUCAGCUCGUGUCGUGAGAUGUUGGGUUAAGUCCCGCAACGAGCGCAACCCUUAAGCUUAGUUGCCAUCAUUAAGUUGGGCACUCUAAGUUGACUGCCGGUGACAAACCGGAGGAAGGUGGGGAUGACGUCAAAUCAUCAUGCCCCUUAUGAUUUGGGCUACACACGUGCUACAAUGGACAAUACAAAGGGCAGCGAAACCGUGAGGUCAAGCAAAUCCCAUAAAGUUGUUCUCAGUUCGGAUUGUAGUCUGCAACUCGACUACAUGAAGCUGGAAUCGCUAGUAAUCGUAGAUCAGCAUGCUACGGUGAAUACGUUCCCGGGUCU
rnacentral:rRNA from 1 species